rnacentral:rRNA from 1 species
UACGUAGGGUGCAAGCGUUGUCCGGAAUUAUUGGGCGUAAAGAGCUCGUAGGCGGUCUGUCACGUCGGAUGUGAAAACUCGGGGCUCAACUCCGAGCCUGCAUUCGAUACGGGCAGUCUUGAGUUCGGCAGGGGAGACUGGAAUUCCUGGUGUAGCGGUGAAAUGCGCAGAUAUCAGGAGGAACACCGGUGGCGAAGGCGGGUCUCUGGACAGUUCCUGACACUGAGGCACGAAGGCCAGGGGAGCAAACGGG